GAUGAAGAACGUAGCGAAAUGCGAUAAGUAAUGUGAAUUGCAGAAUUCAGUGAAUCAUCGAAUCUUUGAACGCACAUUGCGCCCCUUGGUAUUCCGGGGGGCAUGCCUGUUCGAGCGUCAUUAUCACCCCUCAAGCUCAGCUUGGUGUUGGGAAUCUGCUGUAUUGCAGUUCCUCAAAUACAACGGCGGAUCUGUAACAUCCUCUGAGCGUAGUAAAUUUUUAUCUCGCUUUUGUUAGGUGUUGCAGCUCUCAGCCGCUAAACCCCCCAAUUUUUGUGGUUGACCUCGGAUCAGGUAGGAAUACCCGCUGAACUUAAGCAUAUCAAUAAGCGGAGGA
rnacentral:misc_RNA from 1 species